rnacentral:rRNA from 1 species
CAGCCGCCGCGGUAAUACGUAGGGUGCAAGCGUUAAUCGGAAUUACUGGGCGUAAAGCGUGCGCAGGCGGUUUGUUAAGACAGUCGUGAGAUCCCCGGGCUUAACCUGGGAACUGCGAUUGUGACUGGCAAGCUAGAGUACGGCAGAGGGGGGUGGAAUUCCUGGUGUAGCAGUGAAAUGCGUAGAGAUCAGGAGGAACACCGAUGGCGAAGGCAGCCCCCUGGGCUAGUACUGACGCUCAUGCACGAAAGCGUGGGGAGCAAGCAGGAUUAGAUACCCUGGUAGUCCACGCCGUAAACUAUGAUUACUCGUUGUUCGGCGAUAUACAGUUGGAGACUAAGCGAAAGUGAUAAGUAAUCCGCCUGGGGAGUACGAUCGCAAGGUUGAAACUCAAAUGAAUUGACGG